rnacentral:piRNA from 1 species
UGACCAUUCCUGUAAGUGUGGAGCC